GCGACCUGACCUUGGGAUGAUGAGGUGAUAUAUAUAUAAAAGGCAAGCAUCUAGUCCUGACAACCCUUCGAAGGAACAACAGAACAUCAGGUUAGAAGCCAAGAAACACAAGCUCCACUCCUAAUUGCCCAGCAUGUUCAGCCUGAGACAAAGUUACUUUAUCUCUCCUCUCUCCGGACCUAAGUUUCUUCCCAUGUGAAAGUGAGGGGUUGCUACUAAAAUAGCAUAAUUUUCCAGUGUGUGUUUUGUGCAUGUUAAUGAGCUCCCUGUGAGGGGAAGGAAAACUUUAUAGUUUCAAGCUGAGCUCCCAAAGUUUCUACGCCAUAAAACUUGUGAGAGUAUUCAACACAAUCAUGUGCUUUGUGAACCUUCUAGAAAGGCAUAAGUAUGCAAUACUUCUUUAAGUUCUUUGAUCUUAGAGCCUUCAUCCUGACUCUCACAGCAUUUCCACAGAGCCCAUUCUCAGAAACUGUGUGAGAGAGGUUUCUAAGCCUCACUUGGAGAGAACAUGGAAACGUGGGCUUCGUGAACACAGCUGCCAGCUUCCGGCAGAGCUCAGAGACAUGGGGAAGUUGGUUCUGUGUUGCACUUACACCUGUUUGAAAACAUCCCCCUGUCUCCCUUGGAAGUCUCACAAGACCCCCCAGAGGCACUGCCAGCAUAGAGCCAAGCCGGCAGUUUGACUGGAAUUUUGUUCAGACCAGGCAAGUGUGCUGGCCUUGAGCAGAGCCAGAGAGAACGUGCAUUCCGGAGCUUCUCUGCCAUUAGCCACGCAGCAGCUGUAGCCCAUGCCUGAGCUGUUCUUCAACUUCCUGAGGCGGAUGUCUAGCAACACUAUGGAGUGAAAGCCGAGGGCUGAGAGACUCCCUUUCAGGAUCUGAAGGACAGUAAUCUACCACCUUGUCCUUAACCUGAGGUGUCCUACGAUGUGUCCCCAAGUUCCAGAAUUUGAGAUAAUUGGGUAUCUAGCUGUACUGAGGCUUUACUGCUGCCUUUCACAUUUUUGUCCGUAAGAAACUCAUUACCAAUUCUCACCAGUGCACCUGCAAAGAUCUACUAGGUAAGAGAGUCUCCUUCAUUUUUGAUUUACAUGUAUCUGUCAAAGCAGGCAGUAUGGCUCUGUGGGUAAAGGUCUUUGCUGACCUAAGUUUGAUUCCAGACACACAACACAGUAAAAGAGAACCGAAAACUACAAUGUUGUCUGACCUCCACAAGCACACUACGGCACGUCCCAGCCCCUAAAUAAAGAAAUGCAAUAAAAAGAUAUUUAAAAGCAAGCUAAAUGUUGACUUCAUGAGAAUUCCAUCUGCUGGUUUGGUUCUGCCUUCUGGGGUCACACAGAUGAGCUUUCCCCCUGUCACGUGACAGCCCUAGUAAUCAGAGGAUUCUCUGAAAGGCUGAAGGGCUAAUAAAAGAACAGCAGUCAGCCGGCUUUGAACAUGUUCCUGAUAUAGUAGACAACAGAAUUUGAUGUGCGGCAUGUGAAGACCCUGGUGUACCAUUCCCUCUAUCAAAGUCAGCGAGCAUCUCCCUUAGGCUACUGGAUAACAAUAUUUAAAAAGAAAAAAAAACUCUAUAGAACUGCAGCGUGCCAUCAGCUGACAUUGAUCCGUCAGGGCAAAAGUCCCCCAAAACCUGGGCAGCAGCUGCAGUCAGAGUACCUACUGGCAAUGAGACUUUAUGUGAUAGAAGACAUACAAUGGGCUCUGCAACGGCUGUGGGCAGCAGACCGGAGGGAUUAAUGUUGGCGCACUCUUUGAUCUGGGGCCGAUGUGGACACAGAUAUCGGUUACAGUGAAUUCCAUGAGAUUGAAUUUUGUUUGGCUUACUUGUUGACUUUGGACUGAACAUUUCACCGAAAAUGGCUGAGCUUGGUCUGGAACCAUGUAGUGAAACAGUUCGUAACUAGGAGAGAAGUUCUGGGCUAAGAAGACUUCACAUUUGCAGAGGUAUCCUUGGAGAGUGGACCCU
rnacentral:sRNA from 1 species